UCCACUUUUGUAUGCAAUCUGAGCGCGAAUUAGAGAGAAAUUACUGUAUCUUGUCUCCCUAUAGGUCUCCUUUAUUCACUUCUUUAGUUCUUCGCUCUUUCCUCUUUUCCUCAUCCCAUAGUUUGCCUCUAUCUACCGAGUCGCUGCUCUCAAAUCUAUGAAGAAGGCCACAUUCUUCUCCCAUUCUGUCUGAGUGUGGAUGCGGGACAUUUAAGAAGAUACUUCGUGGAUACAGCAAUAAGAAAUUUUAUGGCGCUGCAAAUGAUGGAGGAUUGAAGGAACGUUUCGUCCGAGGCCCGUUGAGGAUUCAUCAGCGAGGCUAUUAUGGUGUGCUCCGCAUCCAGCGUGAGCAGCUGCGCGAUCUGGAGAUCUGCGCCACCGCACAACGCAUCGUUUCGGAGACUGAUAGUGCCAUGGACUUACGUGACUUGGCGCAGAAUAAAAAGAUAAUCACUCGAAAUGGCUGAUAUGGCAUCAGGCCAGUCAGACUUCAUGUUCAAAACUUAGACAUUAUACAUCAUCGUGAACAUUUUGUAAACCGAUGAUGCGUACGGAAUAUUUCACAAAAGCUGCAAAGUGAAUCAAAAUAGUGUUGGGUGUUAGAUUUAAUAUAAUAACAAACACUUUUUCGUGGUUUUAUAACUAUUAACCAGAAAUCUAUAUUCUAUAAACUCUCUCUUAACAAUCCUUGGCUUGUUUGAACAAUAAAUAACGUAUCUACAACUUAA